rnacentral:rRNA from 1 species
AAAGGAAUUGACGGGGACCCGCACAAGCGGUGGAGCAUGUUGCUUAAUUCGACGCAACGCGAAGAACCUUACCGGGGCUUGAAGUGCACAUGAAGGGCGCAGAGACGCGUUCCGCUCUUCGGAGCGUGUGCAUUAGGUGCUGCACGGCUGUCGUCAGCUCGUGUCGUGAGAUGUUGGGUUAAGUCCUGUAACGAGCGCAACCCUUAUCCACAGUUGCCAACAGGUAAAGCUGGGAACUCUGCGGAGACUGCCGGUGAUAAACCGGAGGAAGGUGGGGAUGACGUCAAGUCAUCGUGGCCCUUACGUCCCGGGCUGCAAACGUGCUACAAUGGCUGAUACAAAGGGAAGCAAUGCCGCGAGGUGGAGCAAAUCCCAAAAAAUCGGUCUCAGUUCGGAUUGUAGUCUGCAACUCGACUGCAUGAAGUUGGAAUCGCUAGUAAUCGCGGAUCAGCAUGCCGCGGUGAAUACGUUCCCGGGUCUUGUACACACCGCCCGU